GACGAACGCUGGCGGCGUGCUUAACACAUGCAAGUCGAACGGUGAAGCGAGUGCUUGCACUCGUGGAUCAGUGGCGAACGGGUGAGUAACACGUGAGUAACCUGCCCAUCACUCUGGGAUAAGCACUGGAAACGGUGUCUAAUACUGGAUACGACCAACCCUUGCAUGGGGUGUUGGUGGAAAGAUUUAUCGGUGAUGGAUGGACUCGCGGCCUAUCAGCUUGUUGGCGGGGUAAUGGCCCACCAAGGCGACGACGGGUAGCCGGCCUGAGAGGGUGACCGGCCACACUGGGACUGAGACACGGCCCAGACUCCUACGGGAGGCAGCAGUGGGGAAUAUUGCACAAUGGGCGAAAGCCUGAUGCAGCGACGCCGCGUGAGGGAUGACGGCCUUCGGGUUGUAACCCUCUUUCAGCAGGGAAGAAGCGAAAGUGACGGUACCUGCAGAAGAAGCACCGGCUAACUACGUG
rnacentral:rRNA from 1 species